rnacentral:rRNA from 1 species
ACUCAAAUGAAUUGACGGGGGCCCGCACAAGCGGUGGAGCAUGUGGUUUAAUUCGACGCAACGCGAAGAACCUUACCUACCCUUGACAUCCUCGGAACCUGGCUGAAAGGCUGGGGUGCCUUCGGGAACCGAGAGACAGGUGCUGCAUGGCUGUCGUCAGCUCGUGUCGUGAGAUGUUGGGUUAAGUCCCGUAACGAGCGCAACCCCUAUUGCUAGUUGCUAACAGGUUAUGCUGAGAACUUUAGCGAGACUGCCGGUGAUAAAUCGGAGGAAGGUGGGGACGAUGUCAAGUCAUCAUGGCCCUCACGGGUAGGGCUACACACGUGCUACAAUGGGCAGUACAAAGGGAUGCGAAGCUGCGAAGUGAAGCGAAUCUCAGAAAGCUGCUCGUAGUCCGGAUUGGAGUCUGCAACUCGACUCCAUGAAGUUGGAAUCGCUAGUAAUCGCGGAUCAGAACGCCGCGGUGAAUACGUUCCCGGGCCUUGUACACACCGCCCGU